rnacentral:rRNA from 1 species
GUGGGGAAUAUUGGGCAAUGGGGGAAACCCUGACCCAGCAACGCCGCGUGAGGGAAGAAGGUUUUCGGAUUGUAAACCUCUGUCCUUGGUGACGAAGGAAGUGACGGUAACCAAGGAGGAAGCCCCGGCUAACUACGUGCCAGCAGCCGCGGUAAUACGUAGGGGGCAAGCGUUGUCCGGAAUGACUGGGCGUAAAGGGCGUGUAGGCGGCCGAUUAAGUCUGGAGUGAAAGUCCUGCUUUCAAGGUGGGAAUUGCUUUGGAGACUGGUUGGCUUGAGUGCGGAAGAGGUAAGUGGAAUUCCCAGUGUAGCGGUGAAAUGCGUAGAGAUUGGGAGGAACACCAGUGGCGAAGGCGACUUACUGGGCCGUAACUGACGCUGAGGCGCGAAAGCGUGGGGAGCGAACAGGAUUAGAAACCCGAGUAGUCC